AUUGAACGCUGGCGGCAUGCCUUACACAUGCAAGUCGAACGUGAAAGGGGGGCAACCCCCGAGUAGAGUGGCGGACGGGUGAGCAACACAUCGGAACGUACCCAGUAGUGGGGGACAACCUCGAGAAAUCGAGGCUAAUACCGCAUACGACCCACGGGUGAAAGCGGGGGACCGCAAGGCCUCGCGCUAUUGGAGCGGCCGAUGUCCGAUUAGCUUGUUGGUGGGGUAACGGCCCACCAAGGCGACGAUCGGUAGCUGGUCUGAGAGGAUGAUCAGCCACACUGGGACUGAGACACGGCCCAGACUCCUACGGGAGGCAGCAGUGGGGAAUUUUGGACAAUGGGGGCAACCCUGAUCCAGCCAUGCCGCGUGCGGGAAGAAGGCCUUCGGUU
rnacentral:rRNA from 1 species